rnacentral:rRNA from 1 species
GACGAACGCUGGCGGCGUGCCUAAUACAUGCAAGUUGAGCGCUGAAGGUUGGUACUUGUACCGACUGGAUGAGCAGCGAACGGGUGAGUAACGCGUGGGGAAUCUGCCUUUGAGCGGGGGACAACAUUUGGAAACGAAUGCUAAUACCGCAUAAAAACUUUAAACACAAGUUUUAAGUUUGAAAGAUGCAAUUGCAUCACUCAAAGAUGAUCCCGCGUUGUAUUAGCUAGUUGGUGAGGUAAAGGCUCACCAAGGCGAUGAUACAUAGCCGACCUGAGAGGGUGAUCGGCCACAUUGGGACUGAGACACGGCCCAAACUCCUACGGGAGGCAGCAGUAGGGAAUCUUCGGCAAUGGACGAAAGUCUGACCGAGCAACGCCGCGUGAGUGAAGAAGGUUUUCGGAUCGUAAAACUCUGUUGGUAGAGAAGAACGUUGGUGAGAGUGGAAAGCUCAUCAAGUGACGGUAACUAACCAGAAAGGGACGGCUAACUACGU